GGGCCCAUUCUAAAUAAGGAAAAUUCAUGGUUCACAAUGCACUUAGGUAACUUAGGUAGUUCUCUCAUAUACGCAAGUAAAGCAUGAUCAUUUUUAUUUUUUUGAGUAAAUUAUUCUAACCCCUCUCGAGAUUUAAGAUAAUUAUAUGAUCCCACCCAAUAUUUCGAAAAUAUAUAUAUAACCCCCUAGUCAAAUAUAAAAAUUUAAAAUUUAGAAAUAAGUAUUGUCAAAAUAAAAAAGAUAAGAUAUUUUAAGACUCAAAUAGGUUAGAUAGUGAUGAUUGUAGUAAGACCAUUAGUUUAUUUAAUAGAAAAAUAUUAGUAGGAUUUAUGUGUCAUGUA
rnacentral:lncRNA from 1 species